GUCUGAAUAUGGGGGGACCAUCCUCCAAGGCUAAAUACUCCUGACUGACCGAUAGUGAACCAGUACCGUGAGGGAAAGGCGAAAAGAACCCCGGCGAGGGGAGUGAAAAAGAACCUGAAACCGUGUACGUACAAGCAGUGGGAGCCUCUUUAUGGGGUGACUGCGUACCUUUUGUAUAAUGGGUCAGCGACUUAUAUUCUGUAGCAAGGUUAACCGAAUAGGGGAGCCGAAGGGAAACCGAGUCUUAACUGGGCGUUAAGUUGCAGGGUAUAGACCCGAAACCCGGUGAUCUAGCCAUGGGCAGGUUGAAGGUUGGGUAACACUAACUGGAGGACCGAACCGACUAAUGUUGAAAAAUUAGCGGAUGACUUGUGGCUGGGGGUGAAAGGCCAAUCAAACCGGGAGAUAGCUGGUUCUCCCCGAAAGCUAUUUAGGUAGCGCCUCGUGAAUUCAUCUCCGGGGGUAGAGCACUGUUUCGGCAAGGGGGUCAUCCCGACUUACCAACCCGAUGCAAACUGCGAAUACCGGAGAAUGUUAUCACGGGAGACACACGGCGGGUGCUAACGUCCGUCGUGAAGAGGGAAACAACCCAGACCGCCAGCUAAGGUCCCAAAGUCAUGGUUAAGUGGGAAACGAUGUGGGAAGGCCCAGACAGCCAGGAUGUUGGCUUAGAAGCAGCCAUCAUUUAAAGAAAGCGUAAUAGCUCACUGGUCGAGUCGGCCUGCGCGGAAGAUGUAACGGGGCUAAACCAUGCACCGAAGCUGCGGCAGCGACACUAUGUGUUGUUGGGUAGGGGAGCGUUCUGUAAGCCUGUGAAGGUGUGCUGUGAGGUAUGCUGGAGGUAUCAGAAGUGCGAAUGCUGACAUAAGUAACGAUAAAGCGGGUGAAAAGCCCGCUCGCCGGAAGACCAAGGGUUCCUGUCCAACGUUAAUCGGGGCAGGGUGAGUCGACCCCUAAGGCGAGGCCGAAAGGCGUAGUCGAUGGGAAACAGGUUAAUAUUCCUGUACUUGGUGUUACUGCGAAGGGGGGACGGAGAAGGCUAUGUUGGCCGGGCGACGGUUGUCCCGGUUUAAGCGUGUAGGCUGGUUUUCCAGGCAAAUCCGGAAAAUCAAGGCUGAGGCGUGAUGACGAGGCACUACGGUGCUGAAGCAACAAAUGCCCUGCUUCCAGGAAAAGCCUCUAAGCAUCAGGUAACAUCAAAUCGUACCCCAAACCGACACAGGUGGUCAGGUAGAGAAUACCAAGGCGCUUGAGAGAACUCGGGUGAAGGAACUAGGCAAAAUGGUGCCGUAACU
rnacentral:rRNA from 1 species